AUUGAACGCUGGCGGCAGGCCUAACACAUGCAAGUCGAGCGCGCGGCGGACGGGAGAGUAAUGCCUGGGAAUUGCCCAGUCGAGGGGGAUAACAGUUGGAAACGACUUCUAAUACCGCAUACCAUUGGAUUGCCCAGGUGGGAUUAGCUAGUUGGUGGGGUAAUGGCCCACCAAGUCGACGCUCCCUAGCUGGUCUGAGGGGAUGAUCAGCCAAACUGGAACUGAGACACGGUCCAGACUCCUACGGGAGGCAGCAGUGGGGAAUAUUGCACAAUGGGGGAAACCCUGAUGCAGCCAUGCCGCGUGUGUGAAGAAGGCCUUCGGGUUGUAAAGCACUUUCAGCGAGGAGGCGUUACUCGCAGAAGAAGCACCGGCUAACUCCGUGCCAGCAGCCGCGGUAAUAC
rnacentral:rRNA from 1 species